rnacentral:rRNA from 1 species
CCUACGGGAGGCUGCAGUGGGGAAUAUUGGACAAUGGGGGCAACCCUGAUCCAGCCAUGCCGCGUGUGUGAAGAAGGCCCUCGGGUUGUAAAGCACUUUCAGUGAGGAAGAACGCCUGGUGGUUAAUACCCAUCAGGAAAGACAUCACUCACAGAAGAAGCACCGGCUAACUCCGUGCCAGCAGCCGCGGUAAUACGGAGGGUGCGAGCGUUAAUCGGAAUUACUGGGCGUAAAGCGCGCGUAGGUGGCUUGAUAAGCCGGUUGUGAAAGCCCCGGGCUCAACCUGGGAACGGCAUCCGGAACUGUCAAGCUAGAGUGCAGGAGAGGAAGGUAGAAUUCCAGGUGUAGCGGUGAAAUGCGUAGAGAUCGGGAGGAAUACCAGUGGCGAAGGCGGCCUUCUGGACUGACACUGACACUGAGGUGCGAAAGCGUGGGUAGCAAACAGGAUUAGAUACCCGAGUAGUC